rnacentral:rRNA from 1 species
CAUGCAAGUCGAGCGGUAACAGGUGUAGCAAUACACGCUGACGAGCGGCGGACGGGUGAGUAACGCUUGGGAAUCUGCCUGUUAGUGGGGGACAACCCGGGGAAACUCGGGCUAAUACCGCAUACGCACUACGGUGGAAAGCCGGGGACCGCAAGGCCUGGCGCUGAUAGAUGAGCCCAAGUCGGAUUAGCUAGUUGGUAGGGUAACGGCCUACCAAGGCGACGAUCCGUAACUGGUCUGAGAGGACGACCAGUCACACCGGAACUGAGACACGGUCCGGACUCCUACGGGAGGCAGCAGUGGGGAAUAUUGGACAAUGGGGGCAACCCUGAUCCAGCGACGCCGCGUGGGUGAAGAAGGCCUGCGGGUUGUAAAGCCCUUUCGGUGGGGAAGAAAAGUCUCGGCCUAACACGUCGGGACCUUGACGUAACCCACUAAAGAAGCACCGGCUAACUCUGUGCCAGCAGCCGCGGUAAUACAGAGGGUGCGAGCGUUAAUCGGAAUUACUGGGCGUAAAGCGCGCGUAGGCGGCUUUGCAAGUCGGGUGUGAAAUCCCCAGGCUUAACCUGGGAACUGCAUUCGAGACUGCAUAGCUNGAGUAUGGGAGAGGGAAGUGGAAUUUCAGUGUAGCGGUGAAAUGCGUAGAUAUCUGAAGGAACAUCAGUGGCGAAAGCG